GGACCAGGAAACAUGGUAACUCAAAAGAAAAGAUUUCACUGUUACUCCUCAUUGAUCAAUGUGAUAAAGAAGAUUCAUUCAUCAUCUAAAGAUCUAAUGUUCCCUCUCAAGAAUUUCAUUAGUCUGGGAUUUCAGCAGAAACCAGUGGAGAGCUUUAGUAUCCUGUGAUCUGUCUUCUUAUGACAUGGAGGGCUAAAAGCAUGUAGCUUUACCUUCCAACGGAACACUACAACAGCUGGUUGAAAAGGUCUUGCUGUUCCCAAUCGAUACUGGAGAAGCUUCAAAGAGGAUGGCAAAGUGCCAGAGGGCUCGCAGAGAAGACGUGCUCAGCUAGAAAGCAUCGUGGUCCGUGGAUCCUGACUUGUAUUAUGCUGCAUGCUUUACAUUAGCCCCCUCACAGGAAUCAAGCAAACACUUUUAUCAACACCUCUACUCAAAUCAUGACAGUCCCAAAAGUACUUGUGUCCACACUGUGUGCAUAAACCUUUCUAUUAACAAAAGGGGUACUGCUAUUUUCUGACUGAAGGUCGAAUGACUAAUAAUAGCAGAAGUUGAAGGUGGACAGAUACACUCGUUACA